GGUUGUGGCUCAGUGGUUAGAACACUCACCUAGACCAUGUGAGGUGCUGGGUUCGAUCCUCAGCACAGCA
rnacentral:tRNA from 1 species